CUGUUGAUCAAAGCAAGUCACAAAGCCUGCCCUGAGUCAAAGGAGAGGAAAUAGCUUCUAUUUCUCUAAAGGAGGAACAAUAUGCACACACAGGGAGAGACAAAUCAACAGUGGCCAUCUUUGGAGACUAUCUACCGCAGAUUUUAUAAGGGCGCAGAUGAAGGACGCUCUUUUCUGCGUCAGCUGCAUCGCGAGAGCUCAGAAGCUCAGUCAAUGCAACACAGAAGGCACUGAGGGAAAAUUUCAGAUGAGAAUGGAUGUACCCUCUCCAGAGGCAAAGAAGUUUGCAAAUUACUUUUUGAAGCCCUCACUAUAUAAUUUUGAGGUUAAAAAUGCCUUCCUCCUGGGAAGGAGAGAUUUUAAUCUGGGUUGUAUGCUGGAGGUCAAUGAUUGAUCCAAAUCAGAGUCCAGAGGCCUCAUGGGAAUGAUGAUCGUCAGGGCUACAGCGGGGCAACUGCAGAUGGAGCUUGCCCCUCUCCUCCAUAAACGGGGAAGAGCCUCUCGCCUUCAGUGAGGUUUUGUGCAUAAGAAAGGGAAGGCUUGUUAGAGACAGCAGCUUUGAAAACUUAAUUCUCCUUGCCAAGAACUAAUGGACUAUCUUCAAUGUGCAUGAAAAUACGUCUGCACAGUGACCAGAGAAGCCAAAUUGAGGCCUCUACAGACCUAAUUUGGCAUCAGUUUAUCUCCAUAUGAGAAAGUCUGGUUGUACUUAUUUUACUCUCUACUCUAACCAAGAAAACAAAAACCCGGCAAAGGUUCAUUGAGACAACAGUCGGUCACAAAAAAGGAAUUUGAACCAAGAUAACGUAGUUACAUUUUAUCCACGUGUUCCUGAGGCCAGUGUGCUAAUAGUUAACAAAUGCUAUUUAGCCCGUCACCAUUAGAUUAACAUUUAACCAAAUCAGCAUAGACUUUGUGUGACUAAAAGAAUCUACACACACACACACACAAAUCUUUUUUUUUUUUUGAGACAGAAUCUCGCUUUGUUGCUCAGGCUGCAGUGCAGUGGCACAAUCUCGGCUCACUGCAACCUCCAGCUCCCAGGUUCAAGUAAUUCUACUGCCUUACCCUUCUGAGUAGCUGGCAUUACAGGUGUGUGCCACCAUGCCCGGUUAAUUUUUGUAUUUUUAGUAGAGACGGGGUUUCACCAAGUUGGCCACACUGGUCUCAGAACUCCUGACCUCAAGUGAUCUGCCCGCCUGGGCCUCCCAAAGUGCUGGGAUUACAGGCGUGAGCCACUACACCCAGCCACAGAUAUCUUUUGAUACCUCAAGAACUAUGGACAGAAUUAAAGAAUUCCAAGACCAAUUAAAGAAUUCCAAGUGAGACAAUUCAUUUUCUUUUGAUCUUGGUCCUGUGUUUGGAGAGGCAAAUGUGUGUUUUAGUGAAAUGUAAAUCCGGGGAGAAAGUACAGUAGAGGAAACUGCUCACCUGUCCUUGUAGCCAUAGCUAACAUUUAUGGAGCUCUAUCAGCUAGGCAGUAUUUACUCAUCAGUUCUGGGAGGUGAAUGCUGUUAUAAUCCCCAUUUUCCAAUUGUGACAACAGAGACACAGAGAAGUUAAGUGACUUGCCCAACACCACAUAGCUAGUUUUACAGGACCAUGCUCCUUGUAUAAGUUGUUACACAUGGUCCCCCUAGCUUUGUGGCUCACGAUCCUCUGUGCAGAACGCUACUGCGGAAAGCAGGGAGAAAAUCAAGCUGCGGUGUACUGGGAGGGAAAGAACAAAGGAAAGCUCUUAAGGCGACAACAAGGACAAUGUCUCCAAGGACAGUGCAAUUUCUCAUCGGUGAGGUACUGGUCAGGCUCCGCAGCCUCAGAGGCCCAUCCAGGGUUUCUUCGCUGCCAGAGUCAUGCUGUUCAACUGCUCGUAGGGGUGCUUCAGCCCUGGAAAGGAGUCCAGGUGGUAGGGCUGCCAGAGACCUGGCUGGUCUAUCCAAAGACAAAGGAGGAUGCCAUUCCUCUGUAAGUUCUCUUUCAAAUGACCUUUCUGAGAUAUGUCCUGUCUGCUUUAGUGUCUGCCCUCCUCAGUACAUCCUCCCCGGCUCCAAAAAGACACAUCCCUUGAUAUUCAUCCAGUUUUCCCAAUGCCCUUGGAUGCUUGUGACGGUGCUUCCCAGGGGAAUGGAGUCAUUCCUAGUGCUGGGUUUCUGGAAGGAUCUUAUCAGAGUGAAUGUGGUGUGACGUUUGGAUACAGAUUGGCUUAUCAGCAAAAGCACCUUUUAACAUUUAUGCUGCCCAUUUUCCCUGGAAAAUAAGCCUCUGUUUAAUCCAAGUAAUAUAUGGAGAAUGUUCAGAACUGUGAUGUUACUGUCUGUUGUUGGAAAUUGAAAAGCAGAGAGGAAAUAUGCUAAUACCUCUCUUUGAAAUUUCGUCACCUGCCCUCUCAGUAUAGUAACAGUCUGUUAGGUCUCAAACCUUUGCACUGUUUAACAUUAGGCCAUUAAUAUAAUGAAUGCCUCUGGCCCUAAAAUGUGCAUUAUUACAAUCAUUUGGUUUAAAAAUAUAUGAGUAUCUCCAACAAAAGAGAUGAUUAUAUCAAUUUUUAAAAAGUUUAAAAAUCCAACGGCAAGUCCUCUUGAUUAAACCCAUAAUAUCAGGUCUCAUAGUUUUAUGUUUUAUUUAUUUUUUUUGAGACGGAGUCUCGCUCUGUCACCCAGGCUGGGGUGCAGUGGUGUGAUCUCGGCUCACUGCCACCUCCACCUCCUGGGUUCAAGUGAUUCUCCUGACUCAGCCUCCCGAUUAGCUGGGAUUACAGGUGUCUGCCACCACACCAGGCUAAUUUUUUGUAUUUUUAGUAGAGACAGAGUUUUGCCAUGUUGGCUAGGUUGGCCUUGAAUUCCUGACCUCAAGUGAUCUGCCUUCCUUGGCCUCCCAAAGUGCUGUGAUUACAGGCGUGAGCCACUGUGCCUGGCCAGGUUUAGUUUUAAACCAAUGAUUUAAAGUAUCAUUUAGUUGUUCCUCUGAAGAUUAUAACUUUUAAAAAAGUCACAUUUGGAGAUAAUUGUUCACAUUUGCCUGAAGAUGUUUCUAUUUGAAAAUGCAUAAUAGAAUAUAAAAUUAUGAUUUAUAGUAGCUUUCAGUUUAUAAUUAAAAUCAAAAUGGGAACAUUCAAGUAAAUGAAACAACUGGAUAUUUCUAAAAGGUAUUCUUUAUGUGAAGAUUCAAGGUAACAUGUUUUGUUAGCAUUCUUCCACAUUGAUUUAAAUUGUUUUUUCUGCUUUUGUGCAGGUGAGGUGGGGAGGAGCAGAUGUUUUUCCUCUAGUGAGACAAUAAUUUACUUCCCUAUUAUUGUUUGACUUUGCCUUGUUUGUGCCUGUGAAUUACUAACAGAGGCUUGUAGCACUAUUUAUGGGGCCUGAAAUGUACAAUAAGGUGCCAGAAGGCCUUGAGAGAGCUGAAAAAGAAAUCAUCACUCUAGCCUUACCCCGUCGCCUGUCUCCAGGCAAAAUAAUUCCCUGUCCUUCAUGAUGAUUCGGAGAAGACCAGCCCCACUCAGCUGCUGUUGCCAACCAACCAUAGUUCUUGUUACCCUGGGCCACAAGUGCCUUAUCCACCAGAUUGAGAAAGUUAAUGCCAGAGGGAAGUGAGAAACUAACUGUGGAACAGUGGACCCAUGUUGCAAAAAACAAAGUUCUAGGGAAAGACUUGUGAACAAAGAUGGGUGAGUAUGAAUGGGGUCUGGCUGGAACAUGGCAGAGAAGAAAUUCAACUAUGCAAUGAGAUAAAGCAAAGAUUCUAAUGAAAGACUGAUGUGGUCAUAAAAACAAACAAACAAAAAACA